rnacentral:rRNA from 1 species
GUAGGGAAUAUUGCGCAAUGGGCGAAAGCCUGACGCAGCCAUGCCGCGUGGAUGAUGAAGGCCUUCGGGUCGUAAAGUCCUUUUCUGAGGGAAGAACUGCCGGGGGAGGAAAUGCCCUUGGCUUGACGGUACCUCAGGAAUAAGCAACGGCUAACUCCGUGCCAGCAGCCGCGGUAAUACGGAGGUUGCAAGCGUUGUUCGGAAUGACUGGGCGUAAAGGGAGCGCAGGCGGCCAAGUCAGUCUGAAGUGAAAGCCCGGGGCUUAACCCCGGAAUAGCUUUGGAUACUGCCUGGCUUGAGUGUGCGAUAGGAAAGCGGAAUUCCAGGUGUAGCGGUGAAAUGCGUAGAUAUCUGGAGGAACACCGGUGGCGAAAGCGGCUUUCUGGCGCAUAACUGACGCUGAGGCUCGAAAGCGUGGGGAGCGAACGGGAUUAGAAACCCCAGUAGUCC